rnacentral:rRNA from 1 species
ACGCGUUGGGAGCUCUCCCAUAUGGUCGACCUGCAGGCGGCCGCGAAUUCACUAGUGAUUCGUAUUACCGCGGCUGCUGGCACAGAGUUAGCCGGUGCUUCUUCUGUAGGUAAUGUCAAUCCUUAGUGCUAUUAACACUAAGGCCUUCUUCCCUACCGAAAGUGCUUUACAACCCGCAGGCCUUCUUCACACACGCGGCAUUGCUGGAUCAGGCUUUCGCCCAUUGUCCAAUAUUCCCCACUGCUGCCUCCCGUAGGAGUCUGGGCCGUGUCUCAGUCCCAGUGUGGCUGGUCGUGCUCUCACACCAGCUACCUAUCGUCGGCUUGGUAGGCCGUUACCCUACCAACUACCUAAUAGGACGCACGCUCAUCCUUCACCGCCGGAACUUUAAUAGUUAAGUGAUGCCACUUUGCUAUUUUAUGGGGUAUUAAUCUCCUUUUCAGAAGGCUAUUCCCCAGUGAAGGGCAGAUUGCGUACGUGUUCCGCACCCGUUUGCCGCUCUCCAUUGCUGGAGCGCUCGACUUGCAUGUGUUAAGCCUGCCGCUAGCGUUCAUCCUGAGCCAUGAUCAAACUCUAAUCGAAUUCCCGCGGCCGCCAUGGCGCCCGGGAGCAUGCGAC